rnacentral:rRNA from 1 species
AUUGAACGCUGGCGGCAGGCCUAACACAUGCAAGUCGAACGAGUGGCGGACGGGUGAGUAAUGUCUGGGAAACUGCCUGAUGGAGGGGGAUAACUACUGGAAACGGUAGCUAAUACCGCAUACCAUCGGAUGUGCCCAGAUGGGAUUAGCUAGUAGGUGGGGUAACGGCGCACCUAGGGGACGAUCCCUAGCUGGUCGGAGAGGAUGACCGGCCACACUGGACCUGAGACACGGUCCAGACGCCGACGGGAGGGAGCAGUGGGGAAUAUUGCCCAAUGGGCGCAAGCCUGAUGCAGCCAUGCCGCGUGUAUGAAGGAGGCCUUCGGGUUGUAAAGUACUGUCAGCGGGGAGGCGUUACCCGCAGAAGAAGCACCGGCUAACUCCGUGCCAGCAGCCGCGGUAAUAC